AGCGCAGCUCUGCGCGGCCAUCGGGAGCGGGCGCGAAGUCCCGCCCCGCUCCCGAUGGCCGCGCAGAGCUGCCU
rnacentral:miRNA from 1 species